UGCCAAGAGUUUGUAGUCAGCAUGGGC
rnacentral:piRNA from 1 species